UACAGAGGUCUCAAGCGUUGUUCGGAUUCAUUGGGCGUAAAGGGUGCGUAGGCGGCGCGGUAAGUCGGGUGUGAAAUCUCGGAGCUUAACUCCGAAACUGCAUUCGAUACUGCCGUGCUUGAGGACUGGAGAGGAGACUGGAAUUUACGGUGUAGCGGUGAAAUGCGUAGAUAUCGUAAGGAAGACCAGUGGCGAAGGCGGGUCUCUGGACAGUUCCUGACGCUGAGACACGAAGGUCAGGGGAGCAACGGG
rnacentral:rRNA from 1 species